CCUGGGAGGACGGGAAGAUGAGUCUGGCUGUGGAAUGCGAUGUAGACUGUGGCUGGGGGUGUGUAAGGACUGACAGAGGGAGGCCUGGGAGGACGGGAAGAUGAGUCUGGCUGUGGAAUGCGAUGUAGACUGUGGCUGGGAGUGUGUAAGGACUGACAGUGGGAGGCCUGGGAGGACGGGAAGAUGAGUCUGGCUGUGGAAUGCGAUGUAGACUGUGGCUGGGAGUGUGUAAGGACUGACAGAGGGAGGCCUGGGAGGACGGGAAGAUGAGUCUGGCUGUGGAAUGCGAUAUAGACUGUGGCUGGGAGUGUGUAAGGACUGACAGAGGGAGGCCUGGGAGGACAGGAAGAUGAGUCUGGCUGUGGAAUGCGAUGUAGACUGUGGCUGGGAGUGUGUAAGGACUGACAGAGGGAGGCCUGGGAGGACGGGAAGAUGAGUCUGGCUGUGAAAUGCGAUGUAGACUGUGGCUGGGAGUGUGUAAGGACUGACAGAGGGAGGCCUGGGAGGACGGGAAGAUGAGUCUGGCUGUGAAAUGCGAUGUAGACUGUGGCUGGGAGUGUGUAAGGACUGACAGAGGGAGGCCUGGUAGGACGGGAAGAUGAGUCUGGCUGUGGAAUGCGAUGUAGACUGUGGCUGGGAGUGUGUAAGGACUGACA